rnacentral:rRNA from 1 species
AUGAACGCUGGCGGCGUGCUUAAUACAUGCAAGUCGAACGAAGAGCCUUUGUAGCAAUACGAGGGUUUCUUAGUGGCGAACGGGUGCGUAACGCGUUGGUGACCUGCCCCGAAGUGUGGGAUAACAGUUCGAAAGGACUGCUAAUACCGCAUGUGGUUUUCCGGAUCAGAUGCCGGAUUUCUAAAGCAGUAAUGCGCUUCGGGAGGGACCUGCGUCCCAUCAGCUAGUUGGUGAGGUAAUGGCCCACCAAGGCUACGACGGGUAGGGGACCUGAGAGGGUGGUCCCCCACACUGGCACUGAAACACGGGCCAGACACCUACGGGUGGCAGCAGUAGGGAAUAUUGGGCAAUGGGCGAAAGCCUGACCCAGCAACGCCGCGUGCAUGAUGAAGGUCUUCGGAUCGUAAAAUGCUUUUCUGAGAGAUGAGAAAGGACAGUAUCUCAGGAAUAAGUCUCGGCUAACUACGU